rnacentral:rRNA from 1 species
AUUGAACGCUGGCGGCAGGCUUAACACAUGCAAGUCGAGCGGGGGGAGGUAGCUUGCUACCUAACCUAGCGGCGGACGGGUGAGUAAUGCUUAGGAAUCUGCCUAUUAGUGGGGGACAACAUUUCGAAAGGGAUGCUAAUACCGCAUACGCCCUAAGGGGGAAAGCAGGGGAUCUUCGGACCUUGCGCUAAUAGAUGAGCCUAAGUCGGAUUAGCUAGUUGGUGGGGUAAAGGCCUACCAAGGCGACGAUCUGUAGCGGGUCUGAGAGGAUGAGCCGCCACAGUGGGACUGAGACACGGCCCAGACUCCUACGGGAGGCAGCAGUGGGGAAUAUUGGACAAUGGGGGGAACCCUGAUCCAGCCAUGCCGCGUGUGUGAAGAAGGCCUUUUGGUUGUAAAGCACUUUAAGCGAGGAGGAGGCUACCGAGAUUAAUACUCUUGGAUAGUGGACGUUACUCGCAGAAUAAGCACCGGCUAACUCUGUGCCAGCAGCCGCCGCAGUAA